rnacentral:rRNA from 1 species
GGAUUAGAUACCCUGGUAGUCCACGCCGUAAACGAUGUCAACUAGCCGUUGGAGAUCUUGAAUCUUUAGUGGCGCAGCUAACGCGAUAAGUUGACCGCCUGGGGAGUACGGCCGCAAGGUUAAAACUCAAAUGAAUUGACGGGGGCCCGCACAAGCGGUGGAGCAUGUGGUUUAAUUCGAUGCAACGCGAAGAACCUUACCUGGUCUUGACAUCCUGCGAACUUUCUAGAGAUAGAUUGGUGCCUUCGGGAACGCAGUGACAGGUGCUGCAUGGCUGUCGUCAGCUCGUGUUG